rnacentral:lncRNA from 1 species
AGCAUUAGGGGAGCCCACGGCUACAAAAACAAGUGAGUGAGAAGAGGUGGGAGGAAGAGAAACUACGCCACCUCCCCUGCAGCCGAGUGCACGCAGCAGCCUGGCGUGACAAGUGGGCGACGCCGGGGGGCAGGGAGCCGGGGUCCUUGGCCCUGGCCGGGGACCCCACCGCCCACCGCGCGGAGGACAACUUUUAGCCGGCAGCCCAGACCAGCGCGGCACCUGUCUCCGGAGUCUCCACCGCUCCUCCCGAUUCAUCCCAGGGAAAUUCUCAAGAAUACGCUCUACAAAUCUACGUGCGCAUCAUUUUCACCUCGCGUCGCGCCCGGGAGGAAGGAACGAGGCAAGGAGCUAAAGCAGCGUGCGUUCAGCCCUGGGGAGGAAAAUGGAAGAAACGGAGAUACUUUUAGUGAAGCAGAAUAAACCACUGAACAGCGUUGGCUGAAAAACAUAAGGGAAAAAUGAGGAAGCUGUGAGUACCAGUGGAAGGAACGAGCCAGGAAGAGGGACUGGAACCAUCUCAGAAGCCAUGCCCCUCAGGCUGGAACUUGCCCUGUCUCCUCGCAGAUGAGCUACCUCUUGUGUUUAAGAAUUAAAGGAAGAUGAGCUAGGAAUCAAGAAAUACGCAGAACUGAUUCCUGUCACUGGCGCCACCCUGCCACUUGCCCAGAGCUGUGGUAUAAAUUUUUUUAAUAGGCUGAAAUAAAAAUAUGAAUAGCAUUUUGGUAUUAAGCAUUAAAUUGAUAAAGGCUAUGAGAUACACCUGCUCUCAACCAUGUUAAUUUUUUAUUAUUGGUAUUAAUAAAUUAUUACUUACUAACAUAUUAACAAGAAUUGCAUUGAGAAACAAAGCAUCCACAGGCCAAAUCUUCUGAAUUUCAAAUGUUUAUAUUAAUGCGUUGUAUUCUAGAAAAGUAGAAUUGUCUUAAGUAGCUUUGUAAUAUAAAGUCAUCUAUCAGCCCAUUACACCUAUUAGAAUGUUUUAACCUUUAUUUCCCACUUUUUUGUUUCUAGACUGAGUGUACUUGGUCUGGUAUUUGUGGCAUAACUUACGGAACACAUAAGAAUGAUACAGAUACUAUUUAAUGAUGACCUAAUACAAGCUUAGAUAGCUAAGGUGAAAGCUUCUAUGGCCUUAACAUUUUCCUCUUGAAGAAUGUAUUUUCUGUAAUAAAAUACAGUGGCUACUUGAAAUCUAUAAACUUAUGUGAGGUCUGGAUAAAUCUGAGCAACUUUCUUCUUUGUGCUCCAGGAACCUACGCACUAUAUAUAUAAAUAAAGCUUAAGUAAACAUCACU